UCCUGCNGGAGGCUACUGCUAUCGGGGUUCGAUUAAGCCAUGCGAGUUAAAUGUUCUUCGUGAACAUAGCGAACUGCUCAGUAACACGUGGAUAACCUACCCNUNAGGACCGGAAUAACCCCGGGAAACUGGGGAUAAUACCGGAUAAGCCAUAGACGCUGGAAUGCCCUAUGGUUCAAAGCUCCGGCGCCUAAGGAUGGAUCUGCGGUCUAUCAGGUUGUAGUGGGUGUAACGUACCUACUAGCCGACGACGGAUACGGGUUGUGAGAGCAAGAGCCCGGAGAUGGAUUCUGAGACACGAAUCCAGGCCCUACGGGGUGCAGCAGGCGCGAACACUUUACAACGCGGGAAACCGCGAUAAGGGAACCCCGAGUGCCAGCAUCAAAUGUUGGCUGUCCAGAUGAUUAAAAAUCAUUUGUUAGCAAGGGCCGGGCAAGACCGGUGCCAGCCGCCGCGGUAACACCGGCGGCCCGAGUGGUAGCCGUUCUUAUUGGGUCUAAAGGGUCCGUAGCCGGCCCGAUAAGUCCUUUGGGAAAUCUGGCAGCUUAACUGUCAGGCUUCUAAGGGAUACUGUCAGGCUUGGGACCGGAAGAGGUAAGGGGUACUCCAGGGGUAGGAGUGAAAUCUUGUAAUCCCUGGGGGACCAUCUGUGGCGAAGGCGCCUUACCGGAACGGGUCCGACGGUGAGGGACGAAAGCUAGGGGAGCAAACCGGAUUAGAUACCCGGGUAGUCCUAGCUGUAAACGAUGCUCGCUAGGUGUCAGACACGGUGCGACCGUGUUUGGUGCCGCAGGGAAGCCGUUAAGCGAGCCACCUGGGAAGUACGGUCGCAAGGCUGAAACUUAAAGGAAUUGGCGGG
rnacentral:rRNA from 1 species